UUCUUCUGCAGGAGCGAGGGAGACAGGCCCCGUGUGAGUAGCCCAUAUGCCUGCCCUCCCCGGGGAGGAAAGUUCCCAGCAGGGCAUCUGCUUUCAGACAAAGACCCAAAGGCUGCUGGUUCCGGUCCUCCCCCACCCGACACGCACAGCUGCCACCCAGGAGCGCUCGCAACUGCCCGAGCUAAGCAGAACCCUGCAGCCUGCCACCCUGACUCUCAUCUCUUGCUACGGACGUACAGGGUUCUUGGGCCUGACAGAGUGGUAACAGUCCUACAUUCUGUAGAGGCCCAGAGCGUGGCUGGCACCGAAUGCAGAAGAACAAAGGUGACAAAAUGCCAAGAACAAUUAAGGCCUGUGUAGACCAGCAAAAGACUGUCGCAGCUGGAGACGAGGCCUCAGGAUAGAGUAUCAGGUUCCCGUCCUCUCCGUGGAGGGAAGGAGAGGCUGGGCUGCUGUUAUGGGUGUCCUAACCAUGGCCUGGGGAGCAUCCGAUAAGUAAGAGCUUGCACCCAAACUCAGUCCUCCACUCCUAGCCACAGUACUUCUCUCCUAAUCUCCCAGCCCCUCCACUGCUCUAGAGCAAACUAGCACAAGGGCCUAGCAGUCGAUCUCCAUGCAGGCCAUGUGAAUAGCUGCCUCCACACCUCUGCUCAGCUGGCCCCCUCUCAUUGCAAUAACCUUCCUUCUUUCUCCAACUCAAAUCCUACCCUCUAGAAAAGGAUCCCUGUUCUAAAAAGUUCUCCCUGGCUAGCCCAGCCUGGAGUGAAGGCCUGAUUCUCUGUGUAUAUCGAAUCUUUCCUGCUUGGCGACUUUUUCUGUACUGAGUCCACUGGGUCCCACUAAGUUGAGCUUUGUCCCUUAAGUUCCCAAAUGUGUCUCAGAGUCAGAAACUGCCUUCCAUUUCUUGUAUCCCUCAGUGCCUAGCACAUGGCUGGACAUGCAGAAGGUACUAGGUACCAGGAGGAAAGAUUCCAGGUGAAGGUGGACAGUGGGGAGCCCGCAGCUGAGCUGGGAUGCAGUGGGGAACCAAUGAGGUACCGGCGGAAAGUGCCCUGAAUGUAUAGUACAAUAGUGCUAUAAUGUAAAGUAGGCAGAUUCUCAGCCAGCGCAACCACACAAGAAGGGGAGAGCUCUGCAAGGCUGAAAGGAAAUGCCUCAGGAUGAGAGAGGACAGCCAGGGGAAGGAGGAUGGCAACUUGGGCAGGACCAAGGCCAUGACCUGGAAAGCAAAGUUUUCUCAAGAGCUGGAGUACUGUCGUUCCCAGUUCUCCCCCAGGCAAAGCCGUGAACCUCAGAACCUGGGUCUUCUGUCACUGACUGUAUGACCAUGGAUAGGUCAACAAACCAUUCUUGUCCUCAGUUUACCUACGUGUAAAGUGACAAGGCUGGACCCUGCCUUCCCUUGACAAGCUUCCUCACUUACUGAACAGACACGAUGGCCUCCCUUUGAGGGGCCAACCUGGAGACCUCCUAGUCAGUGAGCCCCAAAUUGCACCAAACUCUCAUGUCCACUGCACCCACACUAUCGGCAUGACCAAAAUCCCCUGGGCUUCAGAUCCAACGCCGAGAGCACAGAGAGGCAGCAGAGUCACCACGUGCGGCUCUCAGCUGUCCAGCAGGGACACCAGUGGGCUCCCCAGGAAGAGGCAGACAGGCAGGUCCAUUCUAAAGGUGUGGCCCUGUGCUUCCCCGGGUGCUGUAGCUGCACCACAGGCGAGGCUGCCCAUGCCUGUACCAGUAACGAUCCAGGCACCUCAUUUCAGUAAGCAAACCCCUGUGCUGAGAACCAGGAACAUGCAGUUGGACCUGGUCCAGGACACAGAUACUAUAAGAGUGAGAGGCCUUGGAACGCCAAAGGAAAGUCAAAUAUGUUGCUAACCCUAGGAUAUGGUGAGCUGUUAAAUGAACAGAAACAGAGAAUUAGGCAAAAAACAAAACAAAACGAACCUAGAGUAAAUAACAUAAUGGGCCACUGUUGGUCCUGGCUGGAAAUGCCCUGGUCCCCACUUGCUAGGAUCCCUUCCUCCGAACACAUCCUCAAAUGCACUCACCUCUCGACAGAGGAAACAGCCUGGCCUCCGCACAGCCAUAAUCACAGCUCCGUUAUUUUCCCAGAGCGCCUUUGCUUUAAAAGUCAUUGGUUCUGAGGAGAAGAAAAGGGAAUUCAGUAUCAUUUCCUCUCAGCCUGGCCCCAACCUCUAAGCACCUCAUAAACAGCACCAGGCCAAACAGAGGACCUGCAAAAGUAUUUCACAUGUGGGAAAAAGCAAACAGGAAACACGGACAAGGAAUAUUCAUCUUUCCAAGGAAAAUGAAUCCAGUGUACGGGUCCUACUAUAUAACCAGAAGGCCCCUCCCCCAUAAAAAUCUAGUUGUGAACUUGAACAUCCCAAACUGGUACAUUUCUGGAAAAAUAGCAUAUUCCUUUGCUGGUCUCAAUGGACCUUGUAACAAUCCUUUAGGGCAGAUACAUGGCCAAAACUUGAACGAGAUCUUGCACUUUGGCCAAGAAAACCCCAACUCUUAAAAAAGUAUUCAAAGAAAUUAGGUCAAAAGAAAUUAAAAACAAAAAAAAAUUUAACCUAAAUAUGUUAACUGCAACGUUAUCCAUAGGAGAGGGUAGAAGAUGUCCAACGAGGAAAUUCUUUGGGUAGCAGAGUAGUGUAGCUCAAGCCCGGCUCCAGUCACACUGAGUCCGCAUCUAGGUGUGACCCGGGGCAGGCUGUAUCUCCUCCCUGAACCUCCAUUUCCCCAUUUGUAAAUGCAGAUGCCUAGCAGCUCCACUUUGGGCCACAGGGAGUAUUAAAAGAUGGAUAUAAAAGUGCUCUCCAGGUAAUACAGAGUUAGUGAGGGCUCAAUAAGUACUAUCCCUUAUUACUUUAGCAUUUCUCAGAGGAAUCCAUGUCCCUGUGGGAUGUUAUAUAGGAAAAAAAGAAGGUGGGAGGGGAUUGAAAUCAAAUGACACUGGGAAACUCUGGGUCGAACAUAGCUAAAUAGGACUCUCUCUGCAGGGCUUCUUAGUCCCUUACUGAGGUGACCUACAUCAUAAAUCUGCAGUCACAGUUCCUGCCUUCCCUUGACAGGCUUCCUCACUUACUGAACAGACGCGAUGGCCUCCCUUUGAGGGGCCAACCUGGAGACCUCCCAGUCAGUGAGCCCCAAACUGCACCAAACUCUCAUGCCCACUGCACCCACACUAUCGGCAUGACCAAAAUCCCCUGGGCUUCAGAUCCAACGCCGAGAGCACAGAGAGGCAGCAGAGUCACCACGCGCGGCUCUCAGCCGUCCAGCAGGGACACCAGUGGGCUCCCCAGGAAGAGACAGACAGGCAGGUCCAUUCUAAAGGUGUGGCCCUGUGCUUCCCCGGGUGCUGUAGCUACACCACAGGCGAGGCUGCCCAUGCCUGUACCAGUAACGAUCCAGGCACCUCAUUUCAGUAAGCAAACCCCUGUGCUGAGAACCAGGAACAUGCAGUUGGACAUAGUGUUUCUCAAAUUUAUUAGACUCAGGAGCUCCUGUUUUUGAAGAUCCAGGAGCCUGGAAUUCCUCAGAACACACUCUGGAAGGUUUGGUUGAGUAAACAGUGGUACAAUAUUACUAAAUAUUAUGGAACGAUUAUUAUUAUAUUUAGAGAGACAACAUGAGAAAAUGAAAAAUGCUUUUGAUAAGAAAAAACUAAUAGCCAUAAAAAGAAAUGAAACUGAGUUAUUUGUAGUGAGGUAGAUGGACCUAGAGUCUGUCAUACAGAGUGAAGCAAGUCCGAAAGAGAAAAACAAAUACCACAUGCUAACACAUAUAUACGGAAUCUAAAAAACAAAAGGUUCUGAAAAACCUCGCGGCAGGACAGGAAUAAAGACGCAGAUGUAGAGAAUGGUUGAGGACAUGGGGAGGGGGAAGGGUAAGCUGGGACGAAGUGAGAGAGUGGCAUGGACAUAUAUACACUACCAAAUGUAAAAUAGAUAGCUAGUGGGAAGCAGCCACAUAGCACAGGGAGAUCAGCUCUGUGCUUUGUGAGCA